rnacentral:rRNA from 1 species
UACGUAGGGUGCAAGCGUUGUCCGGAAUUAUUGGGCGUAAAGAGCUCGUAGGCGGUCUGUCGCGUCUGCUGUGAAAACUCAGGGCUUAACCCUGAGCUUGCAGUGGGUACGGGCAGACUAGAGUGCGGUAGGGGAGACUGGAACUCCUGGUGUAGCGGUGAAAUGCGCAGAUAUCAGGAGGAACACCGGUGGCGAAGGCGGGUCUCUGGGCAGUAACUGACGCUGAGGAGCGAAAGCGUGGGGAGCGAACAGG